AAAAAUAGAAUAACUUUGAAAACCUAAUUUCUAAUUCAUCUCUCUCUCCCCUCUCGAUUCUUCAACUUCUCACUCCUGCGCCGCCUCACUCCCAUCUCCCAUCGGCCAUCUCCUUCUCGGCCUCAGUCACGCCGCCUCACCUCCAUCGCCGGUCGCCUUCUCCACUUCGCUCGCCCGCCCGCCGCCGGAGAAAUAGGGAACAACAGCAGUAGUGCAGCACACUCCCGACUCCAGCAGCACGAACUCCCAUCGCCGGUCUCCUUCUACAAUUCGUCCGCCCGUCGCCGGCGAAGGCAGGAACAGCAGCAGCACGCCGCUAGACUCCAGUUCGGCUCGCCGCCUCUCUGUCACUCCAGUUCGGCUCGCCGCCAAACUCCACCGCCGCGGCGCCGCCGUCGUUCAGCCAUGAGUUUCUCUACCACAGGAUGCUCUGAAUCAAAGUGAGGAACCAGAGCUAUGUUUAUCCGGAGGAAUUUGCAGCCAUGACAGAACCGAUACAGCAUAGUGAUAAGCCUCAUCAGAUUUUAAACAGGACUUCAAAUCACGCAAAACAUCCUUGUUUGCACUUUUUUUUGCACGCAGACGUUCAUCAAUGACAAAAGAAACCUUUGUGAGUAAUCUCGUGGGAUCAUGAAACGCAGGCUUCUUUGCCCAUUGAUGGAAUAAAUGAGAAACAACAGCUCGGUUCUCUGGAUUGAACCUUUUUAAAAAGUUACUGUUAUCACUUUGUUGAGGUCCAAUAGUCUCAUUGCAUGCUUCAUUCACUAAAUUGUCAACAGAGCCAUGUUUCAUAUUGUUGUCAGGGGGUUCUGUCUGUGCAGCUUCUUGCUUAGUUAGCUGUUGAAUCGUCACUGAACUCACUGAAAGUGGCUCAUCACUGAAUAAUGAAUAUAGUUUUUGUAACACAAGUGGAAGUCAAGAUCAUGUGUUAUUUGAAUUUGAUAGUUUUGGGUUAAUAGACGUUUUCUUUUUUGUA